rnacentral:rRNA from 1 species
ACUCCUACGGGAGGCAGCAGUGGGGAAUAUUGCACAAUGGGCGCAAGCCUGAUGCAGCCAUGCCGCGUGUGUGAAGAAGGCCUUCGGGUUGUAAAGCACUUUCAGUUGUGAGGAAGGUGGUGUCGUUAAUAGCGGCAUCAUUUGACGUUAGCAACAGAAGAAGCACCGGCUAACUCCGUGCCAGCAGCCGCGGUAAUACGGAGGGUGCGAGCGUUAAUCGGAAUUACUGGGCGUAAAGCGCAUGCAGGUGGUUUGUUAAGUCAGAUGUGAAAGCCCGGGGCUCAACCUCGGAACUGCAUUUGAAACUGGCAGACUAGAGUACUGUAGAGGGGGUAGAAUUUCAGGUGUAGCGGUGAAAUGCGUAGAGAUCUGAAGGAAUACCGGUGGCGAAGGCGGCCCCCUGGACAGAUACUGACACUCAGAUGCGAAAGCGUGGGGAGCAAACAGGAUUAGAUUCCCUGGGAACACAGAG